rnacentral:rRNA from 1 species
UGGGGAAUUUUGCACAAUGGGGGAAACCCUGAUGCAGCGACGCCGCGUGAUUUAGAAGGCCUUCGGGUUGUAAAAAUCUUUUCUAUGGGAAGAAAAUGACAGUACCAUAGGAAUAAGGACCGGCUAAUUACGUGCCAGCAGCCGCGGUAAUACGUAAGGUCCGAGCGUUGUCCGGAAUCAUUGGGCGUAAAGGGUACGUAGGCGGGUAAGCAAGUUAGAAGUGAAAUCCUAUAGCGCAACUAUAGUAAGCUUUUAAAACUGCUCAUCUUGAGGUAUGGAAGGGAAAGUGGAAUUCCUAGUGUAGCGGUGAAAUGCGCAGAUAUUAGGAGGAAUACCGGUGGCGAAGGCGACUUUCUGGCCAUAACCUGACGCUGAGGUACGAAAGCGUGGGUAGCAAACAGG